GAACUGCAUGUCACCACACCGCUCGAACGGCUCCCUCAUUCAGUCUCUUGGGCACCAGGAAGUACCUCCUGAACGCGUUCCGACAACGUUGCCUCGGUGAACUUAUUCGCCGCGGUCCAAGCACACCCGCAGUAGCCCUCUUCCUCACUGCCGCUCGACCCUACAACCUCCAAUGUCUCAGUCUCAUCGUGUGGGUGCACCUUGGGCAGGGAAUGCUGCCGGCCAGCUCUCGGGCACUCUCCUUCUCGUGGUUGCCUCGGCCUCUCCGUCCCAGGCCAGCAGGUGGGUGCGCCAGUCCCUGCGCACGAACGCGGGUACACCCGAGUCCAUCAUGCCGGGUUCCACUGACCCCACUCCCUUCGAUCCCUCUCUCACGCCAUGGGAAGCGUGCCAUACAUGUGCGGUCUGUUUGCGGCUGUGGUCUCGAUGGCGCCGCUGGGGUUGAGCUGCGAUCUCGGGGGUCCACCGCGGUGAUGAGACGAAGAGGGCCCAGGAGGGAUGGUUGUGCGGCUCGGCAUGCAGGCGUUGCGAUCUUCGACUUGUUCUUGUGGGCGGGGCGAUGGUCUGGGAAAGCCGUGAUGCACAGCGAGUGUGGUGCGGGCCGCGGCUGGGCCUCUGUGGCGCCGUGAUGCAGGCAGCCGAGCGUGCGGGCGGUAGGGCCGGCAAACGCCGCGGCUGUCUCUGUGCCCCUUGCUGGCGCGGCACUGGCUUGCUGGGGAGCAGGCCCAGGGAGUCUACCGCGGAGCGGGGUGAGGACGGAGGCUGUAGUGGGGCGGUUGGAGCCUGUCUCGCAGAACGGUCGCGCAGUCGUCGCGAGGCGAUCCGCCCAAGGGGCUUUCGCGCCGGUUGCUGGUCAGCGUGACAGUGCGUGGCGGAGUGAUACCGCAGCAGGACUGCAUCCAUCCCUCGAGGCUGGCUGUAUGAUGAGCAUGACCGAGAGACAGCGGCGCGCAGGGCAGCGUCGCAAGAGCUGCUUCCAAUCGCGUCAGCUCUGGCGUGCAGAGCGCUGCGUAGGCGGCGUCGCCAGAGGGACCCGCCUUCGUGGGUGUUGUCGGCCGCAGUCGUGCAUUUUGCAGUGGCCUUGCGGGACACCUGGCAGGCGUGCGUCUGCGUGGCUGACUCUUAGGUGUUCGGCGGGACGUGGUGUGCAUGCGCCUAGCAUGGACGUGGCAGCACAGCCGCAACGCCGCUGCCUCGCUCUUGUCGUUGGGAAGAGGGGGAGGGCGUACACCUGUGCCCCGUGUCGUGGUGUGCGAGCGCGGGGACGCCAGCCCGGUGCCUCCUCUCUCUUGCUGCACCGGGAUGCUGAGACGCUGGUACGCCAGGUGCCCUGUGGGGCCUGUGGGAGUGAACUGCACGUCUUGCGCAAUGCAGACCCCUGUGCCGACGCUUCGUGACGGGGACGGGCCGACCAACCACGGUGUGCUUGGCUGCGCCCACUGGCAGUCGCGCUGUGUCCGGCACUGGCGGGGAAACGGGCUGCUUCCUGCAUCAGCGCCUCGCUGCCAAAACAGAAAACAGGAGUUGGGGGACGUGUACCCGUUGAAUCGCACGCGAGCCUGUUUGGUGACAUCGCCUGCCGUCCGUGAUGCAGACACUGGAGGCUGAAAUACCUCUGUGCGGUGUGGCUGGCAUGAUGCGGCGAGGCCGGUGAGCGCGACAGGAGGAAAGAGGGACAUGCUGGGCGUGCUAUGACAGCGCCCGGCGCGAGGUGGCUGCACAGCACCGUAGAAGUGGUGCAGGAGCGUAUCAGCAAGAAUGAGGGAGACGAUGCCGGUGAUGACGGGAGUGGGAGGCGAUGCAGCGCGUGCCAGAGGGGGGUAGCGAGAAAUGGCCCCUCCCCUCCUCUCCCUGUCCUCUCGCCACUUGGCCCCCUCGCCUGCGCUCCCGUGUCUCCCUCGCUGCCGUUGCGGCCCGUCUCUCGCAUCCGCCGGCCGCACCCCUGCCUAUGUGCCAGCCAAUGGCCCAUGCGCCCCCCGCUGCGCACGCGUCGCAGUGUCACUUG
rnacentral:misc_RNA from 1 species